GACGAACGCUGGCGGCGUGCCUAAUACAUGCAAGUCGAGCGGACCGAACAGGAGCUUGCUCUUGUUCGGUUAGCGGCGGACGGGUGAGUAACACGUGGGUAACCUGCCCGUAAGACCGGGAUAACUCCGGGAAACCGGAGCUAAUACCGGAUAACACCGAAGACAGCAUGGUCUUUGGUUGAAAGGCGGCUUCGGCUGCCACUUACGGAUGGGCCCGCGGCGCAUUAGCUAGUUGGUGAGGUAACGGCUCACCAAGGCGACGAUGCGUAGCCGGCCUGAGAGGGUGACCGGCCACACUGGGACUGAGACACGGCCCAGACUCCUACGGGAGGCAGCAGUAGGGAAUCUUCCGCAAUGGACGAAAGUCUGACGGAGCGACGCCGCGUGAGCGAAGAAGGUCUUCGGAUCGUAAAGCUCUGUUGUUAGGGAAGAAGAAGCGUCGUUCGAACAGGGCGGCGCGGUGACGGUACCUAACGAGAAAGCCCCGGCUAACUACGUG
rnacentral:rRNA from 1 species